rnacentral:rRNA from 1 species
GCCAAAUCGUAAAAAAUUAAUUCACACCAAUAAACGCCAGGGCACUACGAGCUUUAGCUUAAAACCCAAAGGACUUGACGGUGUCCCACCCAACUAGAGGAGCCUGUUCUAUAAUCGAUGAUCCACGAUAAACCCAACCAUUUCUUGCUAUUCAGCCUGUAUACCUCCGUCGUAAGUUUACCAUAUGAAUGCUUAACAGUAGACUCAAAGACUUAAACGCCACAAUGUCAGGUCAAGGUGCAGCUUAUGAAAUGGAAGCAAUGGGCUACAAUUUCUAACUUAGAACAAACGAAUUACUACAUGAAACAUAGUCAUGAAGGCGGAUUUAGAAGUAAGUAAAGAAUAGAGAGCUUUACUAAAACUGGCCCUGGGACGUGU